UAGGGAAUAUUGGACAAUGGGUGAGAGCCUGAUCCAGCCAUGCCGCGUGCAGGAAGAAGGCGUUAUGCGUUGUAAACUGCUUUUGCCAGGGGAUAAAAAGACCGUGCGCGGUUAAUUGAAGGUACCUGGUGAAUAAGCCACGGCUAACUACGUGCCAGCAGCCGCGGUAAUACGUAGGUGGCAAGCGUUGUCCGGAUUUAUUGGGUUUAAAGGGUGCGUAGGUGGCCCUGUAAGUCAGUGGUGAAAUAUCUCAGCUUAACUGAGAGGGUGCCAUUGAUACUGCAGGGCUUGAGUACAGAUGAGGUAGGCGGAAUUGACGGUGUAGCGGUGAAAUGCAUAGAUAUCGUCAAGAACACCGAUAGCGAAGGCAGCUUACCAAGCUGUAACUGACACUGAGGCACGAAAGUGUGGGGAUCAAACAGGAUUAGAUACCCCGGUAGUCCCUGAGCGGGCUGGCAAGGCGCAU
rnacentral:rRNA from 1 species